AAGCCGUGGUGUGUAGCUUCUAAACCGUUCCCAAGCUUCACUAAAGCCCUCGUUAUUGUGCUGCGUGAAACUUGAGAUCAGAUUCCUGAGCUU
rnacentral:snoRNA from 1 species